AUUUGACUCAACACGGGAAACCUCACCMGGCCAGGACAUUGGAAGGAUUGACAGAUUGAUAGCUCUUUCUUGAUUCAGUGGGUAGUGGUGCAUGGCCGUUCUUAGUUGGUGGAUCGAUUUGUCUGGUUAAUUCCGAUAACGAACGAGACUCUAGCCUAUUAACUAGGCGUUUUCCGGUGUCCCCGCCACCGGCGACAUUCAUUCUUCUUAAGGGGACAGGCGGCUUUUAGCCGCACGAGAUUGAGCAAUAACAGGUCUGUGAUGCCCUUAGAUGUCCUGGGCCGCACGCGCGCUACACUGAAGGAAUCAGCGUGUGCCUCCCUGGCCGAAAGGCCCGGGUAAUCCGCUGAACCUCCUGCGUGCUAGGAAUUGGGGCUUGCAAUUGUUCCCCAUGAACGAGGAAUUCCCAGUAAGCGCGAGUCAUAAGCUCGCGUUGAUUACGUCCCUGCCCUUUGUACACACCGCCCGUCGCUACUACCGAUUGAAUGAUUUAGUGAGGUCUUCGGACUGGCGGUAAUCCCUA
rnacentral:rRNA from 1 species